UGAGGUAGUAGGUUGUAUAGUUUUUGAUUGUAUAAAAACUGUCAAUCUACUAACUUAAC
rnacentral:pre_miRNA from 1 species